rnacentral:rRNA from 1 species
UACGGAGGGGGCAAGCGUUAUUCGGAAUUAUUGGGCGUAAAGGGCGCGUAGGCGGCUAGAUGUGUCAAAGGUGAAAUCCCUCGGCUCAACUGAGGAACUGCCUUUGAAACUGUCUGGCUUGAGGCCGGGAGAGGGUAGCGGAAUUCCCAGUGUAGCGGUGAAAUGCGCAGAUAUCAGGAGGAACACCUAUUGCGAAGGCAGCUCGCUGGGACGUAACUGACGCUGAGACGCGAAAGCGUGGGGAGCAAACAGG